AUUUUCGCUUACUGCCAGCAGAAUUAGGACAUUACUCAUAAGUCAGUGUGCUUCAAUCAGUGAUGUCUUUAGGAAUAAACCGUGCAUGAACCACAAGGCAGGCUAAACGGGCUAUUCACCAAAGGCCCCUUCCCCAUACAUACACACUUAAAAAGGUAGCUUACUUCAUGAAAUGUCUCUGAAGCUGAAAAUCUUUCUUCUUCCUUUCUUCCAACUACACUUGGGGCCAAUCCCUCCUCCUCCUCUUUCCCAAAUACGCGUCAGAAAUUAAUGCCCAUAUUUCCUUUUUUUUGCACCCAUUCUUUAAAUCAUUAUACUUUGGCCCAAUUGCAUACAUUACAAUAAAGAUGUGCUUUUUCUUUUUGAAUCUUCAAGAGGUGGGAAGAGGAACUGAAUUUUUGAGCUCUGACUGUUUGCCAGGUACCAUGGGCUAAGUCACGGUACCCGGCUUGGUACCCAAUCUACCCUGCGGUGCUGAGGGUGGGAAGAAUCACCAUUUCCGCUUCGCUGAUGCGCACGUUCGGUCUCCAGGAAGUUGGGAGUCAGUGUGCUGAGUGUACAGAGAGAGUGACUUUGGGACAGCUGUCCACUCCGGCCUUGGAUCCCCAGCAAGUGAAGAAAUGAGUACAAUAAAACACACAAAUGAAAUAUUUGCACGAGAAGCCUGGUUACCACAGUCGUGGAAGACAGGCCUUGUGCAGUCCCGGAUUCCUUCCUCAGGCCCAUGUUGCGGAUACAAGAAAACCUUUUCUCCUGUUGCUUUUUGCCAAGUCUUCCUGGAAAUACAGAGUUUCUCCUGACCUUGCAUUUCUUCUCCCAGAACUGUCAAUUGUGAGGUUUUCUUAAUUGCUGCUUCUCCCAUCCUCCCUCAUCAAAAUGGGAAGAGAGAAAAUCCAGGCGUCUCUAGACUCUGUCCUGGGUACUCCUCAGAGUGCUGGCUUACAGGUCAUGAGCGUAUCCACUCGAAGUCAAGCGGGAACAGGUGUAAGAGGUGCGGGACCCUGGUCCCCUGCGGCAGAGGCCUUGGGGGAGGCAGCGGACACACCUGCUGAUCGCUUGGGAGAGAGUGCUUCAGCUUCUAUUGCAAUUGCACUUCGCAUGAGGUCAGAAGUUUUGGACAGUGACAGAGCGGCUUGCACGAGGAAGUGGAGUGCAGACGCCUUGCUGUGA
rnacentral:lncRNA from 1 species